rnacentral:rRNA from 1 species
CCUUGACAUACUAAGAACUUUCCAGAGAUGGAUUGGUGCCUUCGGGAACUUAGAUACAGGUGCUGCAUGGCUGUCGUCAGCUCGUGUCGUGAGAUGUUGGGUUAAGUCCCGNAACGAGCGCAACCUUUUCCUUAUUUGCCAGCGGGUCAUGCCGGGAACUUUAAGGAUACUGCCAGUGACAAACUGGAGGAAGGCGGGGACGACGUCAAGUCAUCAUGGCCCUUACGGCCAGGGCUACACACGUGCUACAAUGGUCGGUACAAAGGGUUGCUACCUCGCGAGAGGAUGCUAAUCUCAAAAAGCCGAUCGUAGUCCGGAUCGCAGUCUGCAACUCGACUGCGUGAAGUCGGAAUCGCUAGUAAUCGCGGAUCAGAAUGCCGCGGUGAAUACGUUCCCGGGCCUUGUACACACCGCCCGUCACACCAUGGGAGUUUGUUGCACCAGAAGUAGGUAGUCUAACCGCAAGGAGGACGCUUACCACGGUGUGGCCGAUGACUGGGGUGAAGUCGUAACAAGGUAAGCGUAGAUGA